AUACUUUCCAACCAUAAAGAUCAAUUGCCAAUUAUUUCAACCUUUGCUACUACCGUUGGGCUGAAAAUUGAAGAAAAUCGCUCAAGAAAUUGGUUGUUCCGCAGCUCCGCUCUUCUUCUUUGCCUGUUGGUAUCGCUGAGCCUGGGCAAACUGUGGUGACUACCUGACUGGUUCCUUAAAAAUCUUAGAUUACAUCAUGGGCAAGCCAAAAAGAAUUGAUGCAUUUUUUAAGAAAAAAGAUGCAGAUUCCAAUUUUAAAAUGUCUUCUUCCACAUUUGAUCCUCAAGCUUCAGCUCCUGAGCAACGCCCUUCUAAGAUGCUAAGAAUUGAAUCUCAAAUUGAGUCAGUUGACAUUUCUGCUAUUCAACAUGAUCCACGGUUACGUCCUCAAAUAUCGGAAUAUCCAGUUAAUCAACAGGAUGAAAUUAGACGUGCUUAUCUUAAAGACGGUCCAUAUAGAUUCAUUCCUUCUAACAGUUCUGGAUAUCCAUUUUCGGGAAUUGGAAAAAAUUGUCGGAGAUUUUAAUCAUCUUGGUACAAGAUGUUUAAUUGGUUAGAAUACUUUCCUACAAAAGAUGCUGCUUAUUGUUUGCCCUGCUAUCUUUUCGGUAAAAAGCCAACGGGACGACCCGGAGCUAAUGCAUUUACUAUUGAAGGAUUUCGUAAUUGGAAAAAAGGUUAAUGAUGGUAUAAAGUGUGCUUUUUGGUCCAUAUAGGAAAUGAUCAAUGUCCACCUCAUAAUAAUGCUGUUAAGUGUUGUGAUACUUUGAAGAAUCAAUCUCAACAUAUUGAAAAUGUGAUUGAUAAGCAAACUUCGGAACAAAAAUUGAACAAUCGAUUGCGAUUGAAGACUUCAAUCGAUUGUAUUCGUUAUUUAACAUUCCAAGGAUAUGCUCUUAGAGGUCAUGAUGAGGGUCCAAAUUCAAAAAAUCGUGUCAAUUUCCUUGAGUUAAUAGACCUUGUAUCCAUGUACAAUGAAAAAGUUGCUAAGGUUGUCUUAGAAAAUGUUCCACAAAAUGCUAAAUAUACUUCACAUCAUAUCCAAAAAGAUA